rnacentral:rRNA from 1 species
AUUGAACGCUAGCGGGGUGCUUUACACAUGCAAGUCGAACGAGGGGCGGACGGGUGAGAAAUAUAUCGGAACGUGCCCAGUAGCGGGGGAUAACUACUCGCAAGAGUGGCUCAUACCGCAUACAAGUGAAGCGGCCGAUAUGGGAUUAGCUUGUGUGGGGGGGAAAGGCUCACCGAGGCGACGAUCCGUAGCUGGUUUGAGAGGACGACCAGCCACACUGGGACUGAGACACGGCCCAGACGCCUACGGGAGGCAGCAGUGGGGAAUUUUGGACAAUGGGGGAAAGCCUGAUCCAGCCAUCCCGCGUGUAUGAGAAGGCCUUCGGGUUGUAAAGUACUUUUGGCAGGGAAGCGGUAUCUACAGAAUAAGCACCGGCUAACUACGUGCCAGCAGCCGCGGUAAUAC